rnacentral:rRNA from 1 species
UGCAGUCGAGCGCCCCGCAAGGGGAGCGGCAGACGGGUGAGUAACGCGUGGGAACGUACCUUUUGCUACGGAAUAACUCAGGGAAACUUGUGCUAAUACCGUAUGUGCCCUUCGGGGGAAAGAUUUAUCGGCAAAGGAUCGGCCCGCGUUGGAUUAGCUAGUUGGUGAGGUAAAGGCUCACCAAGGCGACGAUCCAUAGCUGGUCUGAGAGGAUGAUCAGCCACACUGGGACUGAGACACGGCCCAGACUCCUACGGGAGGCAGCAGUGGGGAAUAUUGGACAAUGGGCGCAAGCCUGAUCCAGCCAUGCCGCGUGAGUGAUGAAGGCCCUAGGGUUGUAAAGCUCUUUCACCGGUGAAGAUAAUGACGGUAACCGGAGAAGAAGCCCCGGCUAACUUCGUGCCAGCCCCCGCGGUAA